rnacentral:lncRNA from 1 species
AAUACAUGGAUUCAGGAAUGGACAUUUAAUUUAUAUUCCACUUUUAGAUUGCCUUUUGCCUUCUAAAUCAGGAAACUGUAAUAGAACAUUUUUUCUGUGUUUAAGGAAUGAUUUUCUUUAAAUUGGCGCAAUCGUAUAUUUUAUAUUUGGCGCAAUUGAUACCAUGUAAGUUUUAAACAGGUGGCGCAAACGUAGCAUUAGAGAAAAAAAGUUGUGGCGCAAAAGGACGCAUUUUUGGCGCAAACGGAUCUCCCCC